GGAAAGGGACGGCCGGGUGGUUGGGGUGACUCCUGGCCUGACCUUCUCCUCGCCCCGCCCCCACACUCAAGGGGAGGAGUUAAAGCCCGGGGUCUUGGGAGAAGCUCCGGGAUCUCGGUCUACGGCAACUUCAUUUUGCAGUGAUUUUUUUUCCGUCCAACGUGACUAUCUUAUGGGAGACAACUGUAACAGCAUACAGGAAAAUGGCUAAACAAAUUCUGAUAUAUCUGUACAAUGGAAUAAUACUCAGCAAUCAAAAGGUAUGAGCUAUAGAUACAACAUGGAUGAAUCUUGAAAAUAUGAUCUUGAGCAAAAGAAGCCAGACAGAAAGGACUACAUUCUGCAUACCUCACUUACAUGAAGUUCAA